GGUUGCUGGAGGUGCCUCCGGGACGCGGCCGCAGCCCCGCGCCCGGCGGCCCGAGCAGGGCCGGGCUGGGGCUCCGGCUCCGGGCUCGGGCUCCCGCUUGGUGCGGAGCCGCGCGCAAACCUUCCGGGUCGCCUGCUGUUCACUUCUGGGUUCUGCAAGCGCCGAGGCGGCGGCGGCGGUGGCGGCGGCGGCGGGAGGCUGGGUCUGCGGCGUCGCGCGGCCCCCCGUGCGCUCCGCGAGCCACUGCGCCAGGCGCCCGGCUCCGGGUUGGGGGGCCGCGUUGGGCCCCCGCCUCUCCGGCUGCACAGCCCGUCCGGCCCCGGGGCUUCGCUCUGGAGGCCAAAAGUUCAACAUCAGGAUGUCAGUCAGCAGGGCUGUGCUCCUCUUAAGGUUCAAGAGGAGAAUCCUUCCUUGCCCCUUCCAUCUUCUGCAUUUCCCAUCAGUGAAGUGAGACUGAAAAGAAUGAGUACAUUUUCUCCAAGUUGCAAAAAGCGUCACGCAUGGAAAAUCUCAGGUAGUCACAUACAAUGUCAGAAUUAAACUAGCUUGGGUUCGGUUUCUUUGCCAUCACUCUGCCAUCAUCGCUUAUUUUGAGUCUCCGCUUUCAGUGCAAGGAUAUGCAACACAACAGGGGUUGGAGACACAGACUGCACCAGAGUUGCAGGACUGAGAAGAUCCAAAUUGAAUUUCCUCUGAAAACAAAUACAUGUUGCAGAGUCCACAUAGGCCCCAGCCAACUGUAUUCCUGCAAACUCCCCAAAUAAACGUGUACUUUGAACUCAAAGUUUAUUAAAAGGUAAAUAAUUAAAAAUUUCUAAUUUAAGGGCUGGGAGUGUAACUCAGUGGUAAUUUGCGAACAUGUACAAGGCCCUGGGUUUGAUCCCCAACAACCCCCCUCCAAAAAUUCUAAUUUGAAUUAUAUAUAUGUAUAUGAUUAUUUAUACAUAUAUUAUUGCUUAUAUAUAUGUAUAUAUAAUAUAUAUGAAUAUAUAAUUAA
rnacentral:lncRNA from 1 species